rnacentral:snRNA from 1 species
AGAUGUGAGGGCAAUCUGCUAUGACAUCUGCCAUUCCACUGGUUGACAGGUGGAUUCAGCUGAUCUGGCUGGCUAGGUGGGUGUCCCCUUUCCCCCCUCACCUCUUCAAGUGCAUUCCUCCCAAAGCUGUAAACUUAGUGGAGGAGGAUGGUCAACCCAGGUACAAGGAGCGUACCAUUUUUUGCUUAAGGGUAUACGAUAGCUGUGGUCCCCUGCAUAUGUUUUGUUAAAGGCUAGUGAUUCUUUGCAGUAGUUUGAACAGAAAGAGCCACAAUUCCUUCAACAGUUCAAACUAAGAAUGACACAAUCUGGUCUUU